UACGAAGGGGGCUAGCGUUGCUCGGAAUCACUGGGCGUAAAGCGCACGUAGGCGGGGCUUUAAGUCAGGGGGGAAAUCCUGGAGCUCAACUCCAGAACUGCCUUUGAUACUGAGGAUCUCGAGUCCGGGAGAGGUGAGUGGAACUCCGAGUGUAGAGGUGAAAUUCGUAGAUAUUGGGAAGAACACCGGUGGCGAAGGCGGCUCACUGGCUCAUUACUGACGCUCAGGCGCGAUAGCGUGGGGAUCAAACAGG
rnacentral:rRNA from 1 species